CCCUCGUGUUGAUUAAUUUUUCUCCUAUGUAACCAAAUUCAUGUACUGAAUCUUUGCUUAUCUAAGGGUUUCAAUACUUACCCAACUCCGCUAUGCACUGAUGGUUACUCAAUGAUUGAUCGUCGGAUGGUACUCUGUCUUCUAUUCUGAUUGUUCCUGAUUAGUAAAAUGGAGCUCGUAAAGAACCAUGGAGGUUUGUGUUAAGUGACUGCCAGAUCUCUUGCUGUUCAUCGAUUGCUCUUCCUGGUCCUCCCUCUUCGCUGCGCCUUUCAUCACCGCCAAGCUCCUAGAGUGCUUGUGUGUAAAACUGACGACUUUGGCUGUGAUGGUCUUGGACGAACUUGUCAAGCAAGGUUCAUCUGGCUCUGCUUCAUCCACCAACAAAAAAUUGUCUCCUCCUACAAAGGUUGACCAUACCACUUUGACAAUUUCUGCAAGAAUGAUUCUUGAUAUUAUGUUGGAGUAUCUUGGGAUUCCUAAAGCUAUUUAUCAGAGAAGGAUCUACUCGCAGAACACAAUAUCUGUCACUAUGCUUUUCUAUACCUCUACUCACAGCGCUGGUGCUUCUCCAUCACAAAUGAUUAUUACAGGGGUUCGAUCUGCCAACGAAGAGAUAGCAGAGGAUCCCGCUGCGGUGGAGGCUUUAGAUACAUGGAACGCGCUACAGGUGUUGUUGUGAAGGACCUAAGUUAUGGACGACUAGAGAAAAUGCAACAAGAGAAUGGUUUUCUAAAGCUUCAACUUGAUGAAGCUUUUGACAUGAUCAACAAGCUAGUCAGGCUUUGUAUGCUUGCUGUUAGAUACAUGCCCUCCUUCUCAAACCAGCUCCAGAAUGUCAUGGAAAUUGGCUUUCCUCCCACACGUCUUGGAAAUUGGCAUUUCUACACACUUCCAACCAGAGCCCUCUAGGGUUUCCUUUCGCCGCCAUGCGCGGCUGCGAGCGAUGCAGGCUGUACGAGAAGCAUCUCCUGGAGGUACACGGUCACACAAAGACCACGACCUCGGCAGCCACCUCGGCGAAACUCGGCCGCCACCAGAUCCGCAAGAAACGAACACACCGACGCCAGCAACAUGCUCCGGUCGCACUCAACGAC